rnacentral:rRNA from 1 species
GACGAACGCUGGCGGCGUGCCUAAUACAUGCAAGUCGAGCGAAUCAUUAGGAGCUUGCUCCUUUUGGUUAGCGGCGGACGGGUGAGUAACACGUGGGCAACCUGCCUAUAAGACUGGGAUAACUUCGGGAAACCGGAGCUAAUACCGGAUAAUCCUUUUUCACACAUGUGGGAAAGCUGAAAGACGGUGCAAGCUGUCACUUAUAGAUGGGCCCGCGGCGCAUUAGCUAGUUGGUGAGGUAAUGGCUCACCAAGGCGACGAUGCGUAGCCGACCUGGGAGGGUGAUCUGCCACAAUGGGACUGAGACACGGCCCAGACUCCUACGGGAGGCAGCAGUAGGGAAUCUUCCGAAAUGGACGAAAGCCUGACGGAGCAACGCCGCGUGAACGAUGAAGGCCUUCGGGUCGUAAAGUUCUGUUGUUAGGGAAGAACAAGUACCGGAGUAACUGCCGGUACCUUGACGGUACCUAACCAGAAAGCCACGGCUAACUACGUGCCAGCAGCCGCCGUAACAC